rnacentral:rRNA from 1 species
UGGGGAAUAUUGGACAAUGGGGGCAACCCUGAUCCAGCAAUACCGCGUGUGUGAAGAAGGCCUGCGGGUUGUAAAGCACUUUCAGUAGGGAAGAAAGGUUGAGGGUGAAUAGCUUUCAAAUUUGACGUUACCUACAGAAGAAGCACCGGCUAACUCCGUGCCAGCAGCCGCGGUAAUACGGAGGGUGCAAGCGUUAAUCGGAAUUACUGGGCGUAAAGCGCGCGUAGGCGGCUUGGUCAGUCAGAUGUGAAAUCCCAGGGCUUAACCUUGGAACUGCACUUGAUACUGCCAAGCUAGAGUAUGUUAGAGGAAAGCGGAAUUCCAGGUGUAGCGGUGAAAUGCGUAGAUAUCUGGAGGAACAUCAGUGGCGAAGGCGGCUUUCUGGAACAAUACUGACGCUGAGGUGCGAAAGCGUGGGGAGCAAACA